rnacentral:rRNA from 1 species
CACGUAGUUAGCCGGGGCUUCUUAGUCAGGUACCGUCAUUUUCUUUCCUGCUGAUAGAGCUUUACGUACCGAAAUACUUCUUCGCUCACGCGGCGUCGCUGGAUCAGGGUUUCCCCCAUUGUCCAAUAUUCCCCACUGCUGCCUCCCGUAGGAGUUUGGGCCGUGUCUCAGUCCCAAUGUGGCCGUCCACCCUCUCAGGCCGGCUACUGAUCGUCGCCUUGGUCGGGCCGUUACCCCGCCAACCAGCCUAAUCAGACGCGGGCCCAUCCCAUACCACCGGAGUUUUCACACACCUUCAUGCGAAGCUGUGCGCUUAUGCGGUUUUAGCACCUGUUUCCAGGUGUUAUCCCCCGGUAUGGGGCAGGUUCGCCCACGCAUUACUCACCCGUCCGCCACUAACUUACACUUCCGUUAGUCAAUGCAAGCAUCUCCUGCUUCUGUGUAAGUCCGUUCGACUUGCUAUGUGUUAGCACGCCGCCAGCGUUCAUCCUGAGUCAGGAUACCAAACUCU